rnacentral:rRNA from 1 species
GUCUAGCCUGCUCACUGAUAUGGAUAUUAAAUAGCCGCGGUAUCUUGACCGUGCAAAGGUAGCAUAAUCAUUAGUUUUUUAAUUGAAAACUUGUAUGAAUGGUUGGACAAAGAAGAAACUGUCUCUUUUAUUAAAAUUGAAUUUAACUUUUAAGUGAAAAGGCUUAAAUUUUUCAAAGGGACGAUAAGACCCUAUAAAGCUUUAUAAAUUUAGAGAUUUUAUAUAUUUUUAUAUAACAAUAAUUUCUUGAUAGUUUAUUUGGUUGGGGCGACAAUAGUAUAAUUGAAAUAACUGCUUUAAAAUAAUACAAAUAUAUUUGGGUUGUAAUUAGUUGAUCCUUUAUAAAGAUUUUAAGAUCAAGUUACUUUAGGGAUAACAGCGUUAUUUUUCCUGAGAGUCCUUAUCAAAGGAAAAGUUUGCGACCUCGAUGUUGAAUUAAAAUGUCUUUAUAGUGCAGCAGCUAUAAAAGAAGGUCUGUUCGACCUUUAAUAUUUUACAUGAUUUGAGUUCAGACCGGCGAGAGCCAGGUCGGUUUCUAUCUUUUGGAAAGAAAUAAUCUAUCUUAGUACGAAAGGAUUGGAUAGGUAAAAAGCUUUUAGUAGUUGAAAU